rnacentral:lncRNA from 1 species
AGUCAGUAUUUCCAUAUUUGAGUCACUGGAUCUUAGUAUUUCCCAAAUACUUAAGGAUUGUCUAUACAAUCUUCCAGUGGUUUUUACUUAGAUCAGACUGAUAUCUGCUCACUACCAUUAGUGAGCAUACCAUAUCUGAUCUUAAACAUGGACAAAUUAGAUGACACCCAAACCUUUUUUCCUUGCAAUGCUGGAAUGCCAUUUUCGAUUAAGAGAAAUUCAUCCACAUACAACACAAGGAAUAACACUACAGAACAUUUUGCCCACUUGUAAAUGCAGGGUUCCUCUUUAUUCAUAACAAAGACAUAUGUUCAAAACGUAUGUUCUAACUCUGGGAUAAUAGCGAAACGAGCUUUAUAGGUCUCCACCUUCCCAUCUG